CGAAAAGAUAUAAAAAAGGAGUUCUACAGUUGAAGCAAAGUCCGCUGGUGGUCGAGGUAAGGCCAAAGGUUCAAAAAAAUCAGUGUCCAGAUCUCAAAAAGCAGGUCUCCAAUUCCCUGUUGGCCGUAUUGCUAGGUAUUUGAAGAAAGGUCGUUAUGCUCAGCGUCUUGGCUCUGGUUCACCUAUCUAUCUCUCUGCUGUUCUUGAAUAUCUUGCUGCUGAGGUGCUAGAGCUUGCUGGGAAUGCAGCUAGAGAUAACAAGAAGAACAGGAUUAUUCCAAGGCAUAUACAACUGGCCGUGAGGAAUGAUGAGGAACUUAGCAAGUUGUUGGGGUCGGUCACCAUUGCUAAUGGUGGAGUUCUGCCCAAUAUUCACUCUAAUUUGUUGCCCAAGAAGAAUGGCAAGGGGAAAGUGGAGUCUGCAUCUCAGUCUCAAGAGUUUUAAAUUUUAUGUUAAAAUUAUUUCUGUGAAUGGGUUGUUUUUUAUAUAACAUGUUUGCUUCUGUCUUGUCACCUGAUUUGCUAUUCCGUCUAACAUCAACAAUGAACUGAAACAAAAUGUAGUUCCA
rnacentral:misc_RNA from 1 species